CCAGGGCAGACUACAUUACCCAUUGUCCUCUGCCUGAGGAUCCGGAAGUAGCGUGGAGAGCGGAGGGCUGCAGUCCCAGGUGAGGGACUGAUAGCUUUGCUACUGUGGGUGAUAGUGGAGGGGAAAAGCACAGGGUGCAGUGAGCCCCUGGCCUUAGGGAAGAGUCAGGUGCAGACUGGAGGAAGCUGUUGGGAAACAGGAGAUACAGGAGCUGGAUCGCCUGGGUAUUCUGUAAUUUGCAGAGUCCCAGGACAGGUUGACUCCCCACCAUUUCUGAAGAAGCAGUGUUGUACAAUGGAAGGAGGAAGCACUUGCACUUGAAGUCGGGAGCCCUGGGCUUGGGUCCCUGUUUUGCCACUUACUGUCAAUGGAGCAGGAAGGACAACAACCAACCGACCAAGGAGAGGGCAUGCUGUAACAGGUAGAGAACUGCUCUCAAAGCCAGAGAGACCAGGGUUUAAGAACUGCCCUUAACACUGGCUGUGAUCCUGGGCUGCAACUCUGAAGGAGAGCAGGGAUGACUGAGGGCACUUAAAUCAAGCCCAGCUUAAUGAGCAAGAUUCCCUUUGCUUCAUCUUCCUGCCAUCAGAGCUCAGCGUUUCCGGUGCUGAGAGGUCUCUACAACAGUAUUGCUUUAACUGUUAAUAUAGUUGAAGCAAGUCCUUUUGUUUGGAUGUUCUUAAUGUCUAAUCUCCAUCUCUCCUGCUACGGUUUCUUCUUGUUGAGCCUUUUCUGGAAAUAGAAGCGGUUUUGUUUGCCUACGCAUAUUUUUCCCAAGGGUUUUGUUUUUCUCUCCUUGGUUCCAGUUGAGGAGUAGUGGAAGAGAAAGUAAAUGUUUGUUAACUAAAAAAUUAAAUUGCGUUUUUAAAAAAUAGAACCAUAGAAAGAGAUUUGAAAGAUUAUUUAGAUUUUUCAAAUUCUGAACUUAACAAACACUGGAUAAACAUUUCCAUAUAAAUAGAACAGAAAAAGAGGAUUGAUUAUAUGUAAAACUUCAAAGCAAGAUCAUUCAGUUCAAUUAUAUUGAUUAAAAAAAAGUUUUAUUGAUGAA